rnacentral:rRNA from 1 species
UGGAGAGUUUGAUCCUGGCUCAGGACGAACGCUGGCGGCGUGCUUAACACAUGCAAGUCGAGCGGACCUUCGGGUCAGCGGCGAACGGGUGAGUAACACGUGGGCAACCUGCCCCAGGCUCUGGAAUAACUCCGGGAAACCGGGGCUAAUGCCGGAUAUUCACACCUUUGGGCAUCUGGUGGUGUGGAAAGAUUUAUUGGCUUGGGAUGGGCCCGCGGCCUAUCAGCUUGUUGGUGGGGUAAUGGCCUACCAAGGCGACGACGGGUAGCCGGCCUGAGAGGGCGAUCGGCCACACUGGGACUGAGACACGGCCCAGACUCCUACGGGAGGCAGCAG